AGUGCGGGGCUAAGCAUGCUCAGUGUAAAUUCUCCUGGAGCCUGUCAAGCUAUGUUUGAACUCGUUCCAGGAUAGUGGAUUUACUUUUUUUUCCCCACCAGGAAGAAUACUCGAUUAGACUGCAUUUUGCCUUGCUUUUCCUUCUCCCUUUCUCUCUCUUUCUUUCUUUCUUUCUUUCUUUCUUUCUUUCUUUCUUUCUUUCUUUCUUUCUUUCUUUCUUUCUUUCUUUUUCUUUCUCUCUCUCUCUCUCUUUCUUUCUUUCCUUUCUUUUCUUUCUUUCCUCUUUCUCUUUCCUUCUUUCUUUUUUUCUUCUUUCUUUCCUUCCUUCCUUCCAUCUUUCUUUUCUUUCUUUCCAUUUUUUUUUUCCUCCAGAAGAAUGGAAACAGUAUUCUUUUCCGAUCAGUUCAGUAAUACAAUGUCCUUCAGUGUCCAUAUGAGCAUUUCAGUGGAGAAGAAAAGAAACUUUGCUACCUGGGAACUGAAGACUACUUAGUGAAGAUCCCGGUGUUACACAUCCAAUCGUUCACCUCCUUCCAAGACUAUGACAUUCCAGGAAACCUUCACUGCUAAGAGGAACUAAGAUCUAGAGUAUCUCCUCGAGGAAGUACAACUGACUUGUCUUUGGACAAAAUUGAGAAGAACUCAUAAACUUGGCUUCCUCGCUUCUGCUCCUCAGCUGGUCCUAUAGUACCCCUCCUCAGGAAUGUCUCCCCAGUGCAAGGACAAAGACUGAAGAGACUGCUAUAUUGAUGGACUCUCAAGCCAACUAUGAAGUUGAAACAAAGAAAGUGAUCACCUGAAGACACCUCCUCUGCUAAGAAACACCCCCAAAUUGUGCAGCUUCUGCCACUAGAACUCUCAGAACAAGAGACAAUCUUUUCAAGAAACAGAAAAACUCAAUAAUGACAUCUAGAUUUUCAUGAGCCAAGAACUUUCCCUUCCUCAUGUGUAUUCCUCUGUUUGUACUUAAAUUCAUGUGACAUUCAUUUUUUUCCUAGUAUGGAUAUGCUUAUUAAUGCACUUGUUUCAAAAUCCCAAAUUGCACAAAUGUGUUAAUAUUUUAAGAAACAAAAUGAAUCCUACAAGGAGAAUGAUUUUUAGCCACACAUAGGGUUGGAUCUUGAGAGUGACCUACAGAAUAAAAGUACUUUUAAAAUAAAGUAGUCAGAGGCUAUUCAAAGGGUAAAAUAAUCAUAGUACCACAUUGGUCCACUUGACACUAACCAAUCGAUCAUUUUUUUUUAAUCAAGAAAGCUAGAUUCUAUCAGAUAAAAUCACUGCUUCUAAAGAGUUUAAAUCUAGUUAGAAAAAGUUAUAGAAAUGUUUGCAAAGAUAAGUAACAGAUAGAGUCAGUAGAGGAUAAGAUCAAAAACAAAACCAAGCAAAAGAUGAGUUCAGGGGAGUUUGCCAUCAAGUUGGCAAAACUGACUUACUUAGGGAAGAAAGUUAUAAAACAGGAAAAUAUGAGAUGAACCUUGAGUGAUGUGGAAGAUUUAGAUAAAUGGAAAGGAAGGAGAAAAUGGAGUUCUUUAGGUGGUUGUAAUUGGAGGAGGAAAUGAAUACACACAUCUUGUUGACUUAAACCCAGACAUUCAGCAGCUCUCUAUACAUAUCUGGAAAAGACUGCACAGUCACCUCCUGUCUCUCACCCCAGGUAUUACUUAGAAUUAUUAUCAUAUUUCCCUUCCUUUAAAGUAAGUAAGGGUGAUUGGUGACAAUAUGGAGAACUAUGAUUUUUCCAUUAACCUAAUAAUAAUUGGUAUUUAUUGAGUUCUGUUAAGCAUUUUACAUAUUAACUCACUUAAGCCUUUCAACAGCCUUGCAAAAUAGGUAUUAUUAUCCCCAUUUUACAGGCAAGAAAACUGAGGUUUAAGUAACUUGCCGAAGUGCCAUAUACAGGGCUCACAUUCAGUAUUGCAGUUGCAAAGCUCAUGAUCUAUAGUGCCAAGUUGCAAUAUUGUAGUCAAUGUCACAAUUAUUACCCCUUUUUAUAUUCCUUGAUAUUUUUCCAUGGCAAACAAUUAGCUAUUUCAUUUAAUAAUCACCUAAAACUUUUCAGUCUUCUGAUUAAAAUUACGCUGGAGUGAUAGAAUGUAUUUUCAUGAUAGAAAUUGGGAAAAAAAAUGGGGAAUGAAGUUUAUCAGCAUUUCAGACUUGUUUUUUUUUUUUUUUUUUGCAAGACUUUGAUGAGAUUGUUCACUUUUGUCUAUGUAAAAUCCCAAAUCCUUGAGAAUAAAAAAGGGGGAGGUUUAAGUCACUUGUUGCAAUGCCCUUUUUAAUAGAGGCAAUAAAUCUAAAGGCCAUAAAUUUAGAGUGACUUACAGAAGAUCGAACUUUGGAGUGUGGCAGAGUAAGGGAUGGAAACCGGGCCCUCCAGUUCACUAUCAGUAGCUUUUGCACUGGUCUGCCCUUCCUAAAUUAAGUAUGCACUUCAAUUUGAUGAGUGGAAACAGUCUAUCUGGGCAGUAACCAGGGAGCUUUGUGCCUAGUAGAUUGCUUCUGUUCUGCACUUCUUUGGUUUCCCACCUCAAUGUAAAAAAUAGCUAGCAAUGAAGUCCAGAAGUUGUCAAUGGUUCAUCCCCAGAAGAAUGCAUAAUGUCCAAAGUUGUAUGUGUAUGAUGUCUUCAAUGGUAUUAAGUUAUUUCAAAUUCUUAGUUCACCUACAUAAAUCAUUUCUAACAAGCAUCUUCUUAACCAACUUUAUGCACAGUGUAUGUUUGUAAGUGCUUCUGCACGAAUGUUUAUACAUGACUGUUUCCAUAGUACUUAUGUUUUUAAAAAUAUUCAGUCAUUUCCUACUAUAAUCCUCAUGUAUCCAUGUAACUGACUCAAAAAUACUUCAGCCACAGAAAGCUAAAACUGAGCAAAUCUCAUUCUUCUUUUCCAUCCCCUUUGCAUGUGGCUGGCAUUUAGUAAUGAUUAAUAAUAUGGCCAGCUGAAUAACAGAGGUUUGAGACACAAUUCUUUCUCAAAGGAGUCAGCUAAGCUGGGUCUACUUAUGGACAAACAUCUAAAUGUGUGGAAGUAUCUGAUAUUUGACAAUGGUAAAUUUCCACUUAGCUAGCUAGCAUUGUCAGACUUCAAUCUCCUCAUGGCUCUGGCCGUCCUGUUUUAAGCAUGAUAAUUGUUGGCCACAUCUCACAUAGUUCUCAUUGAGUGAGUUCAUAAAUAAACAGGGUUUUUUUUUUUUUUUAAAGAGCAGCCAAGCACAAAGUGUGACUUUGUUGACAUUUUAUGUGACUUUGUCAUAUGUUCCUAACCCCCAAUAAAAGCAAUGUUGCAUCAACUGUGAA
rnacentral:lncRNA from 1 species